GGACUAAAAAAUCAGGAGCAACACAAACGUCUGACACGAGCACCAUGAGGUCAGAUGGACCUGUGGAGCUCCGUAGUUCUGCCCCAACAAAAAGGAACGAGGACUAUGACAAUGUCCACUGCAAUGACCUUUACAACAGUGAUCAUGUAUAUGGCAACACAGGGAGUGAUUCGGCUGAGCAAGUAUAUGCCAAUGUGUAACCUGUGGAAGACCAGCUGCCAUGUGUCUCAGAUAAGAGUCAGGGAAAUGUGAAAAGAUCCUAGUCCUAUUUUUAUCUUGUCGAACUUAAGUAUUAUAUUCCAGUUUUUGUAUUUUCUGUCAUUCAAAUUUCUUUGUAAAACAUAGUCAGUAUAUAGGAAAGGCCAAUUUGUGCUUUGCCUUGAUGUGAUAUGCUUUGAAAAUUUACCAUUUCAAUAUUUGUUGACCAGUGAA